rnacentral:lncRNA from 1 species
GGGGAUCAUCGGAUUUGGAACUCGAAGGUAGAAGCGAGGACACAAGACACGGAUUUAUACAAGUUCGGGCCACCAGAGUAGCGUAAUACCCUACAUCCUGUUUGGGAUGUUGCAUAUUGCGCUCUGCACUUGGGUGUUGCGUAGCCUAAUUGUUGGCUAUUGAUGAUGGUUCUAUGAGGUCUUGGCCUCUGUUGGUCUGAGCUCUGACGAUCUAGAUACACCUACGCUCCUUUAUAUACUCCAGAGGGCGGGAUAACUAGUUUGUUAUAAGGAAGAGUCCUAGUAGGAUUACAUGGUAUGAGUCCUAAUAGGAUUAUAGAGGAAUCCUAGCUAGUAGGAGUCCGUCUUCUUCCUUCCUUGCGGGUACUGGGGAUCUAUCCCUGAUAGGUGGAUAUCCUGUUUGCUAUUCUGUGCCAUGCUAAGUUUGAUCGUGUCG